AACGCACGAGACCUGCGGACCUGCGGAGGGAUCAUUACAGGACUCGCAAGACUCCCGUAACCACUGUGAAUCUUACCUAUUGUUGCCUCGGCGGGUGCUGGUCCUCCAGCGCUCCGCCCGCCGACGGCCCACAACUCGUUGUCUUUUUCUAAGCAUCUCCGAGCAAAAUACAAACGAAUCAAAACUUUCAGCAACGGAUCUCU
rnacentral:misc_RNA from 1 species